GGUCAACGAGUAAUCAGCGAUACGGCCUCCGCGUGCUGAUCCGGCAACCGCGCUCCUCGCGCACGGUGCCCCGGGAGGAAGACCGGCCGGCCCGAUCCCGGGCUGGAAGCGCGAGGA
rnacentral:ncRNA from 2 species